GAGGUUAAGCGACUAAGCGUACACGGUGGAUGCCCUGGCAGUCAGAGGCGAUGAAGGGCGUACUAAUCUGCGAUAAGCGCCGGUAAGGUGAUAUGAACCGUUAUAACCGGCGAUACCCGAAUGGGGAAACCCAGUGUGAUUCGUCACACUAUCAUUAACUGAAUCCAUAGGUUAAUGAGGCGAACCGGGGGAACUGAAACAUCUAAGUACCCCGAGGAAAAGAAAUCAACCGAGAUUCCCCCAGUAGCGGCGAGCGAACGGGGAGGAGCCCAGAGCCUGAAUCAGCAUGUGUGUUAGUGGAAGCGUCUGGAAAGGCGCGCGAUACAGGGUGACAGCCCCGUACACAAAAGCGCAUGUGCUGUGAGCUCGAUGAGUAGGGCGGGACACGUGGUAUCCUGUCUGAAUAUGGGGGGACCAUCCUCCAAGGCUAAAUACUCCUGACUGACCGAUAGUGAACCAGUACCGUGAGGGAAAGGCGAAAAGAACCCCGGCGAGGGGAGUGAAAAAGAACCUGAAACCGU
rnacentral:rRNA from 1 species